GACGAACGCUGGCGGCGUGCCUAAUACAUGCAAGUCGAGCGGACCGGAUUGGGGCUUGCCUUGGUUCGGUCAGCGGCGGACGGGUGAGUAACACGUGGGCAACCUGCCCGCAAGACCGGGAUAACUCCGGGAAACCGGAGCUAAUACCGGAUAACACCGAAGACCGCAUGGUCUUCGGUUGAAAGGCGGCCUUUGGGCUGUCACUUGCGGAUGGGCCCGCGGCGCAUUAGCUAGUUGGUGAGGUAGCGGCUCACCAAGGCGAAGAUGCGUAGCAGGCCUGCGAGGGUGACCGGCCAGACUGGGACUGGGACACGGCCAAGACUCCUACGGGAGGCAGCAGUAGGGAAUCUUCCGCAAUAGGCGAAAGCCUGACGGAGCGACGCCGCGUGAGCGAAGAAGGCCUUCGGGUCGUAAAGCUCUGUUGUGAGGGACGAAGGAGCGCCGUUCGAAGAGGGCGGCGCGGUGACGGUACUUCACGAGAAAGCCCCGGCUAACUACGUGCCAGCCGCCGCCGUAA
rnacentral:rRNA from 1 species